rnacentral:lncRNA from 1 species
UCAAACUUGUCCUAGAGUGAAUACUACCAAAAUUCCCCAAGAUUUUCCAAUAAAACAGUAGUAUUUUUUGGUGUUUUUUGAUUUUUUAUACUCAGAUGUUAGACGAAUCAGUAAAAUUUUUACAGGUUUUUUUUCUGGACUUUUUCAGCUAUGAGAACCUUUGAUGAAACACUAUUUUCUACAACCCUCUAUGUUUCUGAAUCUUUU